UCAUUACACAAAUAUGAAGGCGGGCUGGAACCUCUCGGGGUUACAGCCUUGCUGAAUUAUUCACCCUUGUCUUUUGCGUACUUCUUGUUUCCUUGGUGGGUUCGCCCACCACUAGGACAAACAUAAACCUUUUGUAAUUGCAAUCAGCGUCAGUAACAAAUUAAUAAUUACAACUUUCAACAACGGAUCUCUUGGUUCUGGCAUCGAUGAAGAACGCAGCGAAAUGCGAUAAGUAGUGUGAAUUGCAGAAUUCAGUGAAUCAUCGAAUCUUUGAACGCACAUUGCGCCCUUUGGUAUUCCAAAGGGCAUGCCUGUUCGAGCGUCAUUUGUACCCUCAAGCUUUGCUUGGUGUUGGGCGUCUUGUCUCUAGCUUUGCUGGAGACUCGCCUUAAAGUAAUUGGCAGCCGGCCUACUGGUUUCGGAGCGCAGCACAAGUCGCACUCUCUAUCAGCAAAGGUCUAGCAUCCAUUAAGCCUUUUUUCAACUUUUGACCUCGGAUCAGGUAGGGAUACCCGCUGAACUUAAGCAUAUCAAUAAGCGGAGGA
rnacentral:rRNA from 1 species